AACACCCACAAACAACGUCACGACGCAACGUGGUUAAACAGUACGUUUUAUUAAAGCCGGAGGAGGAACACCGCCGAGGCGGACUGGAAACCGAAAGCGCGUGGGAGCCAAGGAAACGACGGGGUUUUCGGGACAUCCUCUUCGGCGCGGCUGGGAACGCGGCCCGGCGCGCGACGUGACUUACCUCGGACGGGCCGACCGGACACGCGACGCGGAUUCCGCGGACUCCCGGCGUGACGGUGCAGAGGCUGGGGAGAGAACAGAGAGAGAGAGAGCGGUGAGCGUCGCGGGAAGCGGAGAGGCACCGACUGCGCGGCUCGCCCCAGGUGCGGCACGGACACGGACGAAGAAACGGAAAAAGAGACAGUGACGGUGACGACGCGGACCCACUGAACGGCACAGUCUACGGAGGACGACCUCACCAGGAGAAGACGACUGGCGAAGAAGCACACCGUAAGCGGAGGGAACGGGGGUGUUUUUUUUUCCUGCUCAAUAAAGUACGGAGGAGACCGUCGCGAUCUCUUUC
rnacentral:lncRNA from 1 species